CAGCCAAGGGAACGGGCUUGGAAGAAUCAGCGGGCCAAGGAAAAC
rnacentral:rRNA from 14 species